rnacentral:lncRNA from 1 species
GACCAAUCAAACUUUGAUAAGCAUCCUAGAUCCCCACCAAUAAAUCUCCUCCCAUCCUCCUCAAUGAAACCCCCAAAUCUACAGCCAAUCGUUGGUGAGGCCAUGCGAUUUCUAUCAUUCUCCAUCGUGUGUUCCUCAGAGAGUGACCACCGAUUUCUCAUCAGAGAUGAGGUAAGGACCUUUUCUUUUCUUUCCAUCUCUCUUUUCCGAACCCCACUAGGAGUUUGACAGUCAAAGUUAGUCUCCGAUCAUCGGAUUUCAUGGGACACUAAACCUUCCCUAUUUUUCCUUUGAUUUUCCUUCCAUCGGAUCGGCCGCCGUUAUUGAAGAUGGCCUUGCUCUGGUCAUCGAGGGUCAGAACCAUCCCAGCGGUAGCCACCCGAGGUGCUGUCGGAGAAAGCCGUGGCCGUGGAAGGUGGGUCAGCUUGAGAUCCUCUCUUCCCCUGUUUCAACGAAGAAGAAGAGA